rnacentral:rRNA from 1 species
GACGAACGCUGGCGGCGUGCUUAACACAUGCAAGUCGAACGGAAAGGCCCUGCUUUUGUGGGGUGCUCGAGUGGCGAACGGGUGAGUAACACGUGAGUAACCUGCCCUUGACUUUGGGAUAACUUCAGGAAACUGGGGCUAAUACCGGAUAGGAGCUCCUGCUGCAUGGUGGGGGUUGGAAAGUUUCGGCGGUUGGGGAUGGACUCGCGGCUUAUCAGCUUGUUGGUGGGGUAGUGGCUUACCAAGGUUUUGACGGGUAGCCGGCCUGAGAGGGUGACCGGCGACAUUGGGACUGAGAUACGGCCCAGACUCCUACGGGAGGCAGCAGUGGGGAAUAUUGCACAAUGGGCGGAAGCCUGAUGCAGCAACGCCGCGUGCGGGAUGACGGCCUUCGGGUUGUAAACCGCUUUCGCCUGUGACGAAGCGUGAGUGACGGUAAUGGGUAAAGAAGCACCGGCUAACUACGUG